AAUACGUUCUCUCUCUGCGCUGUUCUCCGGCGAAGGCGAGCCACCGUCGGUUGGACUGGACUGUGUGGUGAGGCGCCGAGAGACUCCGCCGCGGCGCCAUCUCCGACCUCACACCGCCGCUCCCGGUGAGGCUCCUCCCCAGGGUGGGGCCAGCCUCGUCAGCCAAUCCAUGGCGCCUCUUCGUCCUCAACUCCGGCCACCCCGCUCUACUUCCUCGCCGUCGGCCGCCUCCUGCUCCCGAGAUGGUGCCGUCCUCCUACCACCGCUUGAGAUGUGGUUGAUGGUUGCGAUGCAAGAGAGCACCUCCCAUUCCCAACUGGAUUUUCCAGCACAGCUCUCUAGUUCUGUGUGGCAGCGUAAUUCUGCAGGUGACCGGAGUCGUUGCAGUGGACAGUGGUAGCUGUUCAUUUCUUCAGAACAACAAGGGCAUGUAAAAAUCUUUUCCAACUAGGAGGAAUAAAUAAGCUUUCUGAGUUAUGGAACACUGCUCAAUUGGAUUCAUCCCACUGGUUACUGGUAUGCUCAAUUUGUAAUUCUGUGUGGUAACAGCGCACGAUGCAUUGUUGCUGUGGUUGUUCUUCAGUCCUGGAGAAAGAAAAGACAGGCUGCAGUAAUAUUCCUUGCGCCAUUGGCAUACAAAAUUAGUGCAAGAAGUGAGAACUGGUGUGGUAGCGAAGGUUACAAUGCAGACACGCAGACAAUGGGGUGCGGUUUAAUUCAAUGCCUCAAAGAUUCUAUGAGUAAGAGGUAGUUCAGAAUCGAAAGAUCAAAGUCAACGAGGGGCUCAGAGCAUUGCGAGGUUAUAUUUAUUUUUAAAUAAUUUACUUGUUUUCUCUUCAUUGCCCACUGUCCAAACAAUACAAAAGGCACAAAACGAUAUGCAGUUGUAGGAAUGACAAAUCUGAAAGGUGUAGACCAUAGAAGCAUAGUUGGCAAUUAAAAAUCAAGGAAAAACUCAAUUAUGUUGUGUCCAACACAAGUCUUGGUCAGGAGGGGUUCUCUAUCAAGCGUGGCCAUCAUGUUGUGUCCAAGAAAAUAAUUGUCUUACCUAAGGACAGUUUAUCAAAAAGCGGGAUCCUGCACUAGAACAAGAAUAUGCAACAGGGCAAGACAUCAUGAACUGCAGAUGUGAAUUUGAUGCAAUGGCAAAAGCUUGGCAGAAAGUCAAAACUGGAAAAAUCAAAGUAAACAAGUUUUCAAGAAUUUUUAUUGCAAGAUUAAACUCAUUUGUUCAUCAUUGCAUCAUUUUCUUAUCAUUGGCACGUAGGCAACCACCGCAAAACAGUUUUCAAUUUUGUAUAGGCUGCACUAAUAUUCGUUACACCAUUGGCAUACAAAAUUAGUGCAAGAAGUGAGAACUCGUGUGGUAGCAAAAGUUACCAUGCAGACACGCAGACAAUAUUGUUCGGUUUAA